rnacentral:rRNA from 1 species
UACGGAGGGUGCAAGCGUUAUCCGGAUUCACUGGGUUUAAAGGGUGCGUAGGCGGAUUAGUAAGUCCGUGGUGAAAUCUCUGAGCUUAACUCGGAAACUGCCAUGGAUACUAUUAGUCUUGAAUAUUGUGGAGGUUAGCGGAAUAUGUCAUGUAGCGGUGAAAUGCAUAGAUAUGACAUAGAACACCAAUUGCGAAGGCAGCUGGCUACACAAAUAUUGACGCUGAUGCACGAAAGCGUGGGGAUCAAACAGG